UCCGGUUGAUCCUGCCAGAGGUCGCUGCUAUUGGAGUCCGAUUAAGCCAUGCGAGUCGAGAGGGUUCGGCCCUCGGCGGAAUGCUCAGUAACACGUGGAUAACCUGCCCUCAGGUGGGGGAUAACCUCGGGAAACCGAGGAUAAUACCCCAUAGUUCUAAGACGCUGGAAUGCCCUUAGGACGAAAGCUCCGGCGCCUGAGGAUGGGUCUGCGGCCUAUCAGGUUGUAGUUGGGGUAACGGCCCAACUAGCCGACGACGGGUACGGGCCUUGAGAGAGGUAGCCCGGAGAUGGACUCUGAGACACGAGUCCAGGCCCUACGGGGCGCAGCAGGCGCGAAACCUACACAAUGCACGAAAGUGCGACGUGGGGACUCCAAGUGCUUGUGCGUUUCGGCGUGCAAGCUUUUCCCAAGCCUAAAAAGCUUGGGGAAUAAGGGCUGGGUAAGACCGGUGCCAGCCGCCGCGGUAAUACCGGCGGCCCGAGUGGCGACCGCUAUUAUUGGGUCUAAAGCGUCCGUAGCCGGCCGGGUAAAUCCUUAGAUAAAUCGAACAGCUUAACUGUUCGGCCUCUAGGGAGACUGCCUGGCUUGAGACCGGGAGAGGUCAGAGGUACUCUCGGGGUAGGGGUGAAAUCCUGUAAUCCUGAGGGGACCACCGGUGGCG
rnacentral:rRNA from 1 species